GCCCAGAUGGCGGAACUGGCAGACGCAGGGGACUCAAAAUCCCCCACUCGCAAGGGUUUCCGGGUUCGACCCCCGGUCUGGGCA
rnacentral:tRNA from 1 species